UAUAGGGAGACUCACCUUUAAUAUCCUACUAAAUGCAUCAUGCCAAUUGAAAUUUCUGAAGUUGGAGAAGUUAUGAAAAUGAACCAUGCCAUAUUCUUCCUUCAAUUUCAUUUUUGCUGCAUCUCUUUGCAACUUAAGGACAAGCUGGUGAUAGCUCUAUGAGGAACAUCUCACCUCUUUCUCCAUCAGGCUUUCGCAAUUGAAGAAAAUCCUUCCCUCCUGUAACAUGAGAUAGAUAGCGCACCUCACCCCACCUUCUCCAUUUCCUUUUUUACUUUUCUAACAAGUGCUUGAAUUGCUCCUUUAAAAAUUGCUGAUUUUUGUUAUUUUCCAAUCAAGUAGGUGCCCUAGUAGCUUUUUUGUAGAAAGGCAAAAGGGGGGAAAUUUUCUGAAGUGGAGGAUUUUGCUUUGGGUUGUUUACUGUCUUUGUUUACCUUGCCUUACUGUGAGUGACUUCUCUACUUUGCUAGCUGUUUUAUUUUCAUUAUGUUCACUGCCUUGCUACUGUUAACAUGGAAUGUGAGAGUUUGGUUUUGAUAAAUGGUUAUGUUGGGUGUUUGAUUUAUGUGAACUUACCGAGGUUGUUGAUUUUUAUUUGGGCGCUCUUUGUACGAUGCUUAUCAGUUAUCUUGUAUUGGUACUUGUUGUUUGUGCUCUAUAUCAAUUGAACAGUUUGGUUUUGGUUUCGGUAUAAUGAUUGUUCUCUUGGGUUUAUUAUUAGCUUUUGAAAUCAGUCUUGAACUUCUAUUGAAAACCAAAUUUUGUAACUAUCUUUUAAGUUUAUGUUAACAAUUUUCUUUCGGGUGGGUUAAUUGUUCAAUUUUUAUGGGCACUACCAGCAUCAACAUGGUAUGAAUAUAUGGGAGGAUCAUACCAAGUCAAUUGUAGAAUUAAGAAAUUGAUUAUUUCAUAUGAAUUCUUGGGUAUCUUGCAAAAUUAGAGUUUUGUUUGGGGAUUAUGUUGAGUUAAAAAUCAUCUGUCUUCUUCCUUUGCCCCUUGCCAGUGAAACUACUCGUUUUAGAAAACAUCUUAUGAUAUAGUAUGGAUUAAAGUAUCUAUAAUUCUAUAUGGUGGUUAAACAAAAUGGAGCCUCGAGUAAAGAGCAAAGAACAAAGAGCCAUUAGGUUGCUUCUUCUCAUAGUGCUCCAUGCAUUGACUGCCUUGGCAUUUCAGAGAGAUAGUUUGGUUCCAUUUUUUCGUAAAUAUUGUAUUGGCAUACAAGUUGACUCUCAUAGAAAGGCAGUUGCUGCUACUGCUGCUGGUAGAUUUAAAGAUGAAAUUAUCCCUGUGGCAACCAAGGUUGUUGAUCCAAAAUCUGGUGAUGAUGGGAUUCGAAAUACAACUUUGUCAGACCUAGCAAAGUUGAAGCCUCUGUUUAAGAAAGAUGGGACCACGUACCACUGCUGUGCAAUGGACAAACUGUAACCUUGCUGGAACUCUUGGUCUACUCAGAGUUCUAAUUUACAAGGGGGCUCUGUAAAAUGGGAAUGGCUUUCAUGUUGUUACACCCACAAGAGCUAGCAAGGAAUAUGGAGGGAGGAAUAUGCCACUAAAUCAUAUUGAGAAUGCCUCAGAACUUGAAAAUAAGAGAAGUGAUGGGGUAAACUUAUCGAAGGCCAAUUGCGGGAGUGAGACAUUGUAGGUUUUGUUGAAGCCAGAAGCAGUUAAAGGCCAAGAGCUAUCGAAAAUAGGAAUGUUUUUAAUUCUUGUGUAGCUAACUAGGAAUGCCUUUGUUUAGUGCAUUAUCUAGUUACUUGAAUGUAUGAAUGCUUGAAUAACGGUACUUGAAUGAUAUGGAUUAGAGUACUGUUUAUAUCGUAAU